rnacentral:snoRNA from 1 species
CUGCACAAUUCAUUGUCCUGCUCUUUGUCCUGUAAGAGUUGAGAUAUUUCUGUUGUGCUGGAGGUCAAUUAUCAGAGUGGCUGCACUGCCAACUCUGCCAGUCCCCUUCAUAUAGCA